CCUCCGCCCCUUGGUGCAGCUGCUGUUCCGAGGCCACUGUUGAGCUGAUUCUCCACAGCUGGUUCGGAAAACCAUGGCCCACUCGUCCUGUCCUUGAUGUUCUCAUGAAUAGCUUGCUACACCGUUUUGAUCCAAGAAAGCAGUUGGAACACUCUGGAGGGAAUGGAUUCCACAGCCUAAAGUAAUCUUGGCAAUCACAUGAGCGCAAAAAGCCAGUCUUCAAGAUCUGUCCCAUGUUCAGAAUUUUCACCACAUGAAGGCUCUAGGAAACACUAAAAACCUCUCUCAAGUUCUUUAAAGCCAUUCUUUAUCU